rnacentral:rRNA from 1 species
CCAAGCUUGCUUGGUGGAAGGAGAGGCGAACGGGUGAGUAAUACAUAAGCAACCUGCCCACGAAGACUGGGAUAAUCCCUGGAAACGGGGACUAAUACCGGAUAGGUAACGGGACCGCAUGAUCCUGUUAUUAAAGGUUAGAGACACUGGUGGAUGGGCUUAUGGCGCAUUAGUUAGUUGGUGAGGUAACGGCCCACCAAGACGAUGAUGCGUAGCCGAUCUGAGAGGACGGACGGCCACAUUGGGACUGAGACACGGCCCAGACUCCUACGGGAGGCAGCAGUAGGGAAUUUUCGGCAAUGGGCGAAAGCCUGACCGAGCAACGCCGCGUGAGUGAUGACGGCUCUAUGGGUUGUAAAGCUCUGUGGUUAGGGAACGAACGGUACUUAGAGGAAAUGAUAAGUAAGUGACGGUACCCAUCUAGAAAGCUACGGCUAACUACGUGCCAGCAGCCGCGGUAAUACGUAGGUAGCGAGCGUUAUCCGGAAUUAUUGGGCGUAAAGGGUGCGUAGGCGGACCGAUUAAGUUUGUGGUUGAAAGCGUGGGGCUCAACCCCAUAAAGCCAUAGAUACUGGUCGGACUAGAGUACUGGAGAGGGAAGCGGAAUUCCAUGUGUAGCGGUAAAAUGCGUAGAUAUAUGGAGGAACACCGGAGGCGAAGGCGGCUUCCUAGACAGAGACUGACGCUGAGGCACGAAAGCGUGGGGAGCAAAUAGGAUUAGAUACCCUAGUAGUCCACGCUGUAAACGAUGAAUGCUAAGUAUUGGGGAGACUCGGUGCUGCAGCCAACGCGAUAAGCAUUCCGCCUGUGGAGUAUGCACGCAAGUGUGAAACAUAAAGGAAUUGACGGGGGCCCGCACAAGCGGUGGAGUAUGUGGUUUAAUUCGACGCAACGCGAAGAACCUUACCAGGCCUUGACAUCCCUGCGAAGCUAUAGAGAUAUAGUAGAG